GUACACGCUGUGACUAGCAUAUCAAUAAGCGGAGGAAAAGAAACUAACAAGGAUUCCCCUAGUAACGGCGAGUGAAGCGGGAAGAGCUCAAAUUUGAAAUCUUAAAGGGUUUCCCUUUACGAAUUGUAGUUUAAAGGAGUGUUUUCUGUUGAGGUUUUGGUAAAAGUUCUUUGGAAUAGGACAUCAUAGAGGGUGAGAAUCCCGUAUUUGACCUUUACUUUCAACUUUGUGAUACACUUUCAAAGAGUCGGAUUGUUUGGGAAUGCAGUCCAAAAUGGGUGGUAAAUUUCAUCUAAAGCUAAAUAUUGGCGAGAGACCGAUAGCGAACAAGUACCGUGAGGGAAAGAUGAAAAGAACUUUGAAAAGAGAGUUAAACAGUACGUGAAAUUGUCAAAAGGGAAGCGUUUGACACCAGUGUCGUUUUUCUGAAAAUCAAUUAAAGAACUGUUUAUGCUAAGUUGUUUAGACUUUAUCAGCUAUCUGUUUAGUUUUGAGCUUUUCUUUAAUGCACUUUUCAGUUAACAAGUCAACAUCAAUUUCUUUUGCUGUAAAAAAGCUUGAGGAAGGUGGCUUGAGAUUCGUCUUAAGUGUUUAUAGCCUCUUGCCUAUGCAGUCGGAGAGAUUGAGGUCUGCAGCGUAGAUCCUUCGGGGCUAAAUGCAUUUGUGCUAAGUUAUAGCAUUUCAUAGACAACUUGUUGACUAUGAUUUGUCUUGUAGCUUACUCGCUUAUGUUAUUUUACCUACGCUUAGGAUGUUGACGAGACUGUCGAUCUC
rnacentral:rRNA from 1 species